AGUGAACGCUGGCGGUAGGCCUAACAUAUGCAAGUCGAACGGCAGCACAGUAAGAGCUUGCUCUUACGGGUGGCGAGUGGCGGACGGGUGAGGUAUACAUCGGAAUCUACUUUUUCGUGGGGGAUAACGUAGGGAAACUUACGCUAAUACCGCAUACGACCUACGGGUGAAAGCAGGGGAUCUUCGGACCUUGCGCGAUUGAAUGAGCCGAUGUCGGAUUAGCUAGUUGGCGGGGUAAAGGCCCACCAAGGCGACGAUCCGUAGCUGGUCUGAGAGGAUGAUCAGCCACACUGGAACUGAGACACGGUCCAGACUCCUACGGGAGGCAGCAGUGGGGAAUAUUGGACAAUGGGCGCAAGCCUGAUCCAGCCAUACCGCGUGGGUGAAGAAGGCCUUCGGGUUGUAAAGCCCUUUUGUUGGGAAAGAAAAGCAGCAGGUUAAUACCCCGCUGUUCUGACGGUACCCAAAGAAUAAGCACCGGCUAACUUCGUG
rnacentral:rRNA from 1 species